AUGGCCUCAUUUCCUGCUGUCCUUCGAGCGUCCCGGCUGUACCAAUGGAGCCUGAAGUGUUCGGCGCAGUUCCUGGGGUCUCCACAGCUGAGGCAGGUUGGCCAGAUCAUUAGGGUUCCUGCUCGGAUGGCGGCGACGCUGAUCCUGGAGCCCGCGGGCCGCUGCUGCUGGGACGAACCGGUGCGAAUCGCCGUGCGCGGCCUAGCCCCGGAGCAGCCGGUCACGCUGCGCGCGUCCCUGCGCGACGAGAAGGGCGCGCUUUUCCAGGCUCACGCGCGCUACCGCGCCGACGCCCACGGCGAGCUGGACCUGGAGCGCGCGCCUGCGCUGGGGGGCAGCUUCGCGGGGCUUGAGCCGAUGGGGCUGCUCUGGGCCUUGGAGCCGGAGAAACCCUUGGUGCGGCUGGUGAAGCGCGACGUGCGAACGCCCUUGGCCGUGGAGCUGGAGGUGCUGGAUGGCCACGACCCCGACCCCGGGCGGCUGCUGUGCCAGGCGCAGCACGAGCGCUACUUCCUGCCACCGGGGGUGCGGCGCGAGCGGGUGCGCGCGGGCCGGGUGCGAGGCACGCUCUUCCUGCCGCCAGAACCUGGGCCCUUUCCUGGGAUUGUGGACAUGUUCGGAACUGGAGGUGGCCUGCUGGAGUAUCGGGCUAGUCUGCUGGCUGGGAAGGGUUUUGCUGUGAUGGCUCUGGCUUAUUAUAACUAUGAAGACCUCCCCAAGACCAUGGAGACGCUCCAUCUGGAGUACUUUGAAGAAGCCGUGAACUACUUGCUCAGUCGUCCUGAGGUAAAAGGUCCAGGAGUUGGGCUGCUUGGAAUUUCCAAAGGGGGUGAGCUCUGCCUUUCCAUGGCCUCUUUCCUGAAGGGCAUCACGGCUGCUGUGGUCAUCAACGGCUCUGUGGCCAAUGUUGGGGGAACCUUACACUACAAGGGUGAGACCCUGCCCCCUGUGGGCGUCAACAGAAAUCGCAUCAAGAUGACCAAAGAUGGCUAUGCAGACAUUGUGGAUGUCCUUAACAGCCCUUUGGAAGGACCUGACCAGAAGAGCUUCAUUCCUGUGGAAAGGGCAGAGAGCACCUUCCUGUUCCUGGGAAUCCAGGAGUUUUUGAAGAGAGAGUUUGGAGUGCAGAAGAGGCAGCAGAACUAGGAGUUGUCAGGUGGCGUGACCUGCUCCAGUGGCUUGUCUUCAAGUAUUGUUUCAUCUGGUGAAGGAGCCAUUGCCAUCAUUGUGGCUAGAGGUGUCUAGUCCACAUCCAGAUCCAGUCCCUGAAGCUGAAAGAAAUAUAUGACCAGUGGUGAGGACACUUGUCUUAGUCUGUUCAACUGCUGUAACAAGAUGUGUUAGACUGGGUAAUUUAAAAGCAACAGAAAUGUAUUGCUCACAGUUUUGGAGGCUAGGAAAUCCAAGAUCAAGGCACCAGCAGAUCUGGUGUCUGGUGAGGGCCUGUUCCUCAUAGAUGGCACCAUCUUGUGUCUUACCUAGUGGAAGGAGCAAGGCAGCUCUCUUCCACCUGUUUUAUAAGGGCAGCAAUCCCAUUAAUGAGGGUUCCACCCUCAUGACAGUCACUUCCCAAAUGCCUCCUGCUGUGUGUGUGUGUGUCUGUAUCUCAGGGGCUCCAGGCCUCAAUACAAUGGGUAUAACAACAAUCCCAUCUUGUUGGGAGGAAUUAACAAUCAUGCAUCACACCCUGGGCACCAGGCUUCAAUGUGUUAGCUAUUAGAGCUAAUCAUUAUUUAAUGUUUUAAACACCCCCAGGAAGUAGAGAACAUUCCUGUCACAUUCUGCAGAAAAAGAAAUUGAGGCAAGGGGCAAAGCCAUUUGCCAAGGUCAUAGAUCCUACAAGCCAAUGGCAAGGCAGGAUCUGAACCUGGGACUUCAGAUCCUGGGGCUUUAUCUGAUUAAAUAGCAAGAGAGAGUGCUGAGACUUUUUUGGUGGUGGACAGUCCUUGAGGCAAGCCAUUUUUAGAGCAUCUGGGCCACUUGGGGAAUUGAAUCUUUACCAGGGCUUCCCACCUCCUGUUGCCCCUUCUCUGAAAGUGACCCCCUCCCACAGUAGCACCCCAACCACUCAGAACCCCCAGGCCUUCUUCUUUGCACAUGCUGAAGCUAAUAUUGCCUCCACUCCACCCCAACGUCAGGGACCCUGGCCCAAGCCCUUCCCUGGGAGCCCUUCCUCCUCUCAUGAAGCCUCCUUCCCAGCCCCUCAGAACAGCCUCCUUUAUGAGAGUGGCCAAGAUCCCACUGAAACCUUCCCCAUCAACUUUAUAAAAUUAAUCAGGGAAGAAGGGAGGGGGCAAAAUGGAAAUCAGCCCAGCUUGCAGCACACACAGCAUUGGUCAUGAGGUCAGCUGCUCUCUGACCCACUUGCUCAGAGUUGUUUGCUGCCUGUUGCUCCAGAGUCACAUAGACCCUGUCACAAUGUGGUCAUAGCUCCCCUUCACUGCUCUAUAGAUAACAACUGGAACAUUAUAAAUCGUUAACUUUUCCAUUUCAGAUAUUCUUUCAAGUCCUGCAUAGCCAUGAAACUGAGGCAGGAUAGGUAGUUAAGGGAGUGACCGUGUUCUCGGGAUGCAGCGACCAUGGCACGCAUGCAGUCAACACAGUGAGCCUCAGCAUUCGCAUUGUCAUUGCGCUCAUUGAAGCAAAGCUGUCUUCAGUAGGGAAUUUCCCCCAUAGACAGCAUGAGCAUUUUAAUUUUACCUGUCCUCAAACUGACAUUUUGCUCAUUAUAAUAGUAGAAGACAGCCCUACAUGGAGAUGUAAUAUGCUAGUGAGACAUGUGACAUAUGAACAAGCAUGUACAGCUACUAGGCAUGUGCACCCAGAAGACCACCCAAACAUGCUUACUAGCAACACCUCUUCCCACCACCUUAUGAAUAAUCAUGGAAGACUCUCAUAAAGGGAGUCUCCCUACUGCCAGUCUCUGCUGUCUCACCCUUAUGAGCAGCCUGCCUUGAAUCCUCUCUCUCUCACGGUAUACUGUCCAUUCUGCAUGUAACUUUCAAAAUAUUCUUUUUUCUUUGCAAUAAAUUACUCUAUGCUGCACUUC